rnacentral:tRNA from 1 species
GGGCUCGUAGCUCAGCUUGGUUAGUGCACUGUUUCGUGCGGCUAUAGCGCUUGUCUUAUAAGGCAACUGAGCGUAAAAACAAGUGGUCCUGGGUUCAAAUCCCAGCGGGCCCA